GCUACCGCCUCCUGCUGUGGGAGAGAAAAGUUUGCUGCCGCGUGUCUCCACUUUCUCGGCGACUCAAGUCCCGAGUGGGCCGCGGCGGCCUCGGAACAGACCUAGAGGGAGGCAGUCUGCACGAUCGCUAGAACCUGGCCACGGAGCCCGGGGAGACAGGGAAGGUUCCUGUGACCUUUGAUGACAUCACGCUGAACCUGCUGCGGGUGGAAUGGAUGCUGUUGAGUCAGUCCCUGAAGGACUUUUCUGCUUCCGACAAGCUGACGGUACCUCUAGG